rnacentral:rRNA from 1 species
GACGAACGCUGGCGGCGUGCUUAACACAUGCAAGUCGAACGGAAAGGCCCUGCUUUUGUGGGGUGCUCAAGUGGCGAACGGGUGAGUAACACGUGAGUAACCUGCCCUUGACUUUGGGAUAACUUCAGGAAACUGGGGCUAAUACCGGAUAGGAGCUCCUGCUGCAUGGUGGGGGUUGGAAAGUUUCGGCGGUUGGGGAUGGACUCGCGGCUUAUCAGCUUGUUGGUGGGGUAGUGGCUUACCAAGGCUUUGACGGGUAGCCGGCCUGAGAGGGUGACCGGCCACAUUGGGACUGAGAUACGGCCUAGACUCCUACGGGAGGCAGCAGUGGGGAAUAUUGCACAAUGGGCGGAAGCCUGAUGCAGCAACGCCGCGUGCGGGAUGACGGCCUUCGGGUUGUAAACCGCUUUCGCCUGUGACGAAGCGUGAGUGACGGUAAUGGGUAAAGAAGCACCGGCUAACUACGUG